CUUAAGAGCUGUAACACCUUGAGGGUCCGCGGCUUCAUUCUUGAAGUCAGUGAGACCAAGAACCCACCAAUUCCGGACACACCAUCUGGGGGUGGCAGAGACAGAGACAGAUCAUCAGGCACUAGAUUCUCAUAAGGAGCGUGCAUCCUAGAUCCCUCACACGUGCAGUUCACAAUAGGGUUCAUGCUCCUAUGAGACUCUACGGCCGACGCUGAUCUGACAGGAGGCAGAGCUCAGGCCUAACGCCAGCGAUGGGGAGUGGCUUGGAUUUACAUUUUAGAAUUUGGAAUAACUUCAGUCCACAAACUCUCAGGACGUGCUGGCGCAUUGUUGAUGUGCUUCAAGAGGUUUACAGUCAGCACAGGGCAGGACCCCCAUCGCAAACGACGCCCCGCACUGGGACAGGCAAGGAGGAAGCAAACGCACAAACCAGGAAAGUGGAGAUGUGUUGCCACACGUUAGCUCUGAAUUAUUGCUAGGCUGUGAGAAUGAAAUGAAGGUAAUAAAUAAAAUGUGUGGUUUCCACAAGCUUUCCUUCUCUUAUUGCCUCUUAAAUAUUGAAACUGUUUGUGAUGUAGUAUUCGUUGAUUUGCC
rnacentral:lncRNA from 1 species